rnacentral:rRNA from 1 species
AUGGUGGUCAGGCGGUCGCCGGCGCGGCGGCGGGGCGUGCGGGUCGGCCCGACCAAGCUCGAGGGCCUGCCGGCCGCGUGGUCGGCCCCCGCCGUGGCCGCCGUCAAGGUCAAGUGGCCCGGCGCCGGCGGGGCGCUCUCGCAGAUGCUCACGGGCCGGCGCGGCGGCCGCGGGGUCACCGCCGUCGAGCCCGUCGGCGGCGACGGCGCCGUCCGCUGGGACGCCGCCGCCGACGCCAACCGCUUCCGCGUCGACGUCGAGCCCGGCGCCAGCCCGCGCGGCGGGGGCGGCGCCGGCCGGCCGGAGCGCGGCGUCUUCUUCUCCGUCCUAUACGGAUUCCAAGAACAAGGGAGGGGCAAGGACCUGGUGAGGCUGGACGAGAUCGGGACAGCCAUGAUCAGCCUGGAGGAGUGCUGCUGGGAGAUGCAGCUGCAGCAGCAGAAAGUUGGGGCUCCUCUGCAGCAGCUGGUGGUUGUCCCCAUCAGGGUCAGGAAGGACGGGUGGGCAAGCGAUGCCAUGCUCUAUGUAAGCAACCAAACAUAUACAUCCUCUCUCUCUCCUUUGAUUACAUCGCACACACAUCCUCUCCAAUUGCCGGCCAAUUAUUUACGAGUUUGUAUUAGUUUAGGUUUCAGUAUUUGUCAUGCUGGUUCAUGGUUCCGAUCUUGGGUGAACGUGGAGCUGGUGGACCUGAGCACGCCGGCGGAGGUGGAGAGGAGCGUCUCGUUCAGGGAGAAGCCGAGGGCGAACCCCACGCCGGUCCCGACGAUGAGGGAGAUCCACAGGGGCUCGACGUACCACGAGGUUCUUGACCUGAAGCAGCUGCUCGACCUCGCCGAGAAGCAGGGCAGGGUGGCGGUGUACCGGAACAAGCGCAACUCGGACACCAGCAGCGUCAGCAGUGGCGGCGGCAUGAGCAGCAGCAGCAGCACCGUCAGCCUGAGCAGCGCCAGCACCAGCACCAGCGGCGGCGCCAGCCCGGAGCCCGGGUCCACGUCCAAGCGCCGGUUCCUGCCGUGGCGGCGGCGGAGCCGGGAGUCGCUCUCCCAGGAAAUGCCCAUCAAAUGCAUGGGAGACGAUGAUGUCUGGGAGACGCGCGAGUUCACGAGCAGGGACUCGGAGACGAGGCUCCGGACGCCGGUCUUCUUCGCGUCCAUCGACCAGCGCGACGACAGCGCCGGCGGCGAGAGCGCGUGCACGGCGCUGGUGGCCGUGCUGGCGGCGGCGCUCCACGCCAACCACCCGCUGAUGCCGACCCGGGCGGAGCUGGACGCGCUCAUCCGGGACGGCUCGUCCGAGUGGAGGCGGCUCUGCGACGACGAGGCGCACAUGGCGCAGUUCCCCAACCGGCACUUCGACCUGGAGACGGUGCUGGCGGCGCGGACGCGGCCCAUCGCCGUGGAGCACGACAGGGCCUUCGUCGGCUUCUUCCAGCCGGAGAGCUUCGCGUCGCUGUCGGGCGCCAUGUCGUUCGACGACAUCUGGCGCGAGAUCAGCGCCGGCGAGCGCGCCCCGGGCGAGGCCGACGUGUACAUCGUCAGCUGGAACGACCACUUCUUCGUGCUCAAGGCCGAGAGCGACUGCUACCACGUCGUCGACACGCUCGGCGAGAGGCUCUUCGAGGGCUGCGACAAGGCCUACAUGCUCAGGUUCGACGCCACGUCGGAGAUGCGCGCCCUGCCGUCGCCGGACUCGUCACCGUCGUCGGGGCCGGAGGAGGAGGUGGUGGUCGCCACCGGCAAGGAGUGCUGCGGGGAGUUCAUCAAGAGGUUCCUGGCCGCCAUCCCGCUGAGGGAGGAGCUGCACAUCGAGCAGAGCGGGUGCGCCGACGCCGGCGCGCCCCACCGGCGGCUGCAGAUUGAGUUCCACUUCACCGUGCUGCAGCAGCAGCAAGAUGGAGGGAGAUGA